ACGCCGUGACUGCGCCGAUUAUAGCAGGAUCGGGGGAGAGAUCCCCGACACGGCGU
rnacentral:ncRNA from 1 species